UACGUAGGGCGCAAGCGUUGUCCGGAAUUAUUGGGCGUAAAGAGCUCGUAGGCGGUUUGUUACGUCUGCUGUGAAAACCCGGGGCUUAACCCUGGGCUUGCAGUGGAUACGGGCAGACUAGAGGCAGGUAGGGGAGAAUGGAAUUCCCGGUGUAGCGGUGAAAUGCGCAGAUAUCAGGAGGAACACCGGUGGCGAAGGCGGGUCUCUGGGCCGAUACUGACGCUGAGGAGCGAAAGCGUGGGGAGCGAACAGG
rnacentral:rRNA from 1 species